rnacentral:lncRNA from 1 species
GAGGUGUCCUAUGAGCAUUUUGGUCAAGGAGAUGAAUUAUAUGGAAACUAUAUCCACAUGGGUUCUAAGGAUGUUGUUCUACACAUUCGACCUAUCCGACCGUCGGGUACCAUUGCUAGAUGGUCACUUCGAUUGGUAUAAAAAUUUAUUUCUAUGCUACUGACUUAGGUUCGGAUCUAUGAGGUCACACACAUUAGAGUUCACAAUCCGAUCGGAUGGUUGAUCAACGAUUAAGAAUCAUUCUAGGGUUAAACGAUCAAUACGAUUGACAUUUAACCUAGUGCAAGUUGAUUGCUAAUUGACUUAAUUUGAUUAGCAAUUUGAUUGCUAAUUGACUUAAUUUGAUUAAACCAAUAGAUUAAGAUUAAGUUUAAUUAAAUAUAAUUAAAUUAAAUUUAGUUUGGACUUGAUUGGAUCA